CCCAUCACCACCGGAACCGCCCCCAUUCCUCCGGUCACCGCCUCUCCAUCCACCGCUAAAUCCAGAACCACCACCACCUCCGCCACGGCCACCAGAGUGACCGAAGCUCUCCUUCUUGUUACCGAUCAACGGCGCACCGUCAGGGCCUGUCACAUCGAUGGCCUUGGUCUUGCCGUCAUCGCCGAAGUCGAUGAGGAACUCGACGGACUCACCCUCCGCGACGGUGCGGAAUCCGUCGGAUCUGAUCGAGGACUGGUGGACGAAGAGGUCCUCGCCUCCGGCGUCGGGGGUGAUGAAGCCGUAGCCCUUGACGUCGUUGAACCACCGCACCUUCCCGGUCGAUCUCUCCUCAGCCAUCGUAAAAGGUUAAAAGUUCCGAUAUGGA
rnacentral:lncRNA from 1 species